ACAGUAGCAGACAUGCCGCCCUC
rnacentral:miRNA from 1 species